CGCUGGCGGCGUGCUUAACACAUGCAAGUCGAACGGUGAACACGGAGCUUGCUCUGUGGGAUCAGUGGCGAACGGGUGAGUAACACGUGAGCAACCUGCCCCUGACUCUGGGAUAAGCGCUGGAAACGGCGUCUAAUACUGGAUACGAACCACGAAGGCAUCUUCAGUGGUUGGAAAGAAUUUCGGUUGGGGAUGGGCUCGCGGCCUAUCAGCUUGUUGGUGAGGUAAUGGCUCACCAAGGCGUCGACGGGUAGCCGGCCUGAGAGGGUGACCGGCCACACUGGGACUGAGACACGGCCCAGACUCCUACGGGAGGCAGCAGUGGGGAAUAUUGCACAAUGGGCGCAAGCCUGAUGCAGCAACGCCGCGUGAGGGAUGACGGCCUUCGGGUUGUAAACCUCUUUUAGCAGGGAAGAAGCGAAAGUGACGGUACCUGCAGAAAAAGCGCCGGCUAACUACGUGCCAGCAGCCGCGGUAAUACGUAGGGCGCAAGCGUUAUCCGGAAUUAUUGGGCGUAAAGAGCUCGUAGGCGGUUUGUCGCGUCUGCUGUGAAAUCCGGAGGCUCAACCUCCGGCCUGCAGUGGGUACGGGCAGACUAGAGUGCGGUAGGGGAGAUUGGAAUUCCUGGUGUAGCGGUGGAAUGCGCAGAUAUCAGGAGGAACACCGAUGGCGAAAGGCAGAUCUCUGGGCCGUAACUGACGCUGAGGAGCGAAAGGGUGGGGAGCAAACAGGCUUAGAUACCCUGGUAGUCCACCCCGUAAACGUUGGGAACUAGUUGUGGGGUCCAUUCCACGGAUUCCGUGACGCAGCUAACGCAUUAAGUUCCCCGCCUGGGGAGUACGGCCGCAAGGCUAAAACUCAAAGGAAUUGACGGGGACCCGCACAAGCGGCGGAGCAUGCGGAUUAAUUCGAUGCAACGCGAAGAACCUUACCAAGGCUUGACAUAUACGAGAACGGGCCAGA
rnacentral:rRNA from 1 species